UUUCGAAUCAUUCACAAUGGGCGCAAGCCUGAUGGUGCAAUGCCGCGUGGGGGAUGACGGUCUUCGGAUUGUAAACCCCUGUCAAGAAGGACUAAACCACUGUGAAGAGCAGUGCUGAAUUAACUUCUAGAGGAAGAGGUGGCUAACUCCGUGCCAGCAGCCGCGGUAAUACGGAGACCUCGAGCGUUACUCGGAUUCACUGGGCGUAAAGGGACCGCAGGCGGCUAAAUGUGUCAGGUGUGAAAUCCCGGGGCUCAACUCCGGAACUGCGCCUGAAACUGUUUAGCUAGAGACUCGGAGAGGUGAGUGGAAUUCCAGGUGUAGCGGUGAAAUGCGUAGAUAUCUGGAGGAACACCAAUGGCGAAGGCAGCUCACUGGACGAGAUCUGACGCUCAUGGUCGAAAGUAUGGGUAGCGAAAGGGAUUAGAUACCCCCGUAGUCC
rnacentral:rRNA from 1 species